rnacentral:sRNA from 1 species
UCAGCGACCAAAAAGCAUCAACCGGUGGAAGCGUCCUGGGGGUGAAAGUCAGCUUGUAUCUUCCU